CAUAUGUACGAUGCCGUUACCGUGGAGACCGAGCGACCGUUGGCCAAACAAGUCCACCCGACAGUAGGCUGGAGUGCAUGAAAAGACCAAAGACUACGUCAUGCAGGUACCAGCGAACACACAUUGCAGGCAAACGGAUCGAUAAGAUGCAUCUUGGUAUCUGACCCCACCCCCCCCCACCCCCUCUGUGGGCCGGUGGCAGCUCAGCAUCACAGUCAAGAGCGAUGCGUGGUGGCAGCGGAGGGGCCGCGCACACCCAGGGGCACGAUGGAGGAGCGCGGGGAGGGAGGAGCGGCAAAAAGCAAUAAGAGGCGUCCAGCGACCGCAGGGCCCGAGACCAGACAGCUGGAAAUGGUGGAGGACGCCCCUGUAACACCACGUCGAUUCAUUAGCGAGCAAAUGAAUCAACAAACGAGGGCAUAAUGAAAAUUCACACCGGUAGAAAUGAUGCUGAAUCGCAACGAGACGCAGAUUUGCCUCAUGACAAUGAACCUGCGGCCGCUCUGGUCUCAUUCCGCUUUUAAAUACACGCUGACGCCCCGCUUUGAACAACAGGAUGUUGGACCCAGAGUUAACGCGCUGAAAUCCUUCAUCUUAACUACGCUUGUAAUUCCGCUCUGUAAUGACGGUAAAGUGUCCCCGGCACAAACGCUGAAUCGGCUUUUUGAAGAAACGGGCUCGGACGCGGCUGCACCUGCCACAUCAGACUGAUUGGACUUGACGACAAUCUCACGCUCGGAGCGCUGGAUGCGGCGGCCGUUGCCGCGCUGGCAGCCCUGCGUUCCAUCACUGUCACCGCGGCAACGGACCGACGCGACCGCCCCGGCAACCAGCCGCACACGUGCUCGCUGCUACGGGAGCCUACUCUGAAAAGCAAACAGAUUGGCUUUAACUAAUAAACCCAUGCAGCAUCUCAGGACGUGGGGCGAAGAUGAAGCUCGAGGGCCUCGGCGACUUCAGUUAUGAUGCAGCGGCGCCUUCAUCCGUAUCUGAGCAGCGGCUGUAGGUUUGUUAUUUAGGCGUUUCUCCCUGGAGCCCUCCAUCCAGGAAGUGACAGGCUCCAUCUCUCUUUGAUCGUGCCUCCGCAUCCUCGGCCGCAACGCGAGUGCACAGCAGGUUCUGUCUGCGCUCGGCGUGAACGUGGGCUCCGCGUGCCGCAGCUGCACGCUUGCAGAGUAUUAGCAGCCAUUGUUCCCACAAAGUGCCCGGCCUGCGGAGGCCCAGCAUCCCUCCUACUCAAGUGUCCUUGAUGAGGAUGAAUCCCAGAUCAGCUCUCAGAUUUCUGCUGCGUGUUAACGACUCGCAAUUAAGAACUAAACGUUCCAGGCAUAAAACAUUAAUAUGGGAACGGAGCCCCUUAAGAGUCCGGCAAAAUCCCGACCAGGACGAUUCAGGUCCUCGAGAUGUGAAAUUUAAAUUCCAUUAACACACAGUCGGGAGAAGUUAACCAUCGGAGGACGACUGUUGCAGGAAAUCAUGGGGUAAUUCUUCCCACAGGGCAAAACAAGCACAGGGAUUCAUCAGCGACACAUACAAGGCUCCAAGUACUAAAAAAGCUCUAGUGCCCCCCAGUGUAGACAGUGAGUUCAGGUACCUUCACAGCGUUAGACGCGAGUACAGCGCUGUGUGGAUGUUUAAUAGAGACUCUGCUGUAAACGGUGUCGCCGCGUCCUCUCUGCUUUGACUCACUUUUCUGGGUCGACCCACUCAGACCACUCACGGUGCAAAUGUCAGGCUCGCAUUGAUUGAAAAAGCACAUGUGCCUCUAUUGCGUUAACCUUUUCUGUGCAGGCUGGGGAUGACUCAUAGCUGUACAGCAUGGGAUUAACCUCUGCCUUCGAUUGCAUCUCGCUCCCCACGACAACAAAAUCACGACGGAGCGCACGAAGGCUUCCCAUCAGUGUGAUCUGAGGGAGGGGAGUGGAGCGGGAGCGGGCUGAAGGUCGGCCCCGUCCAUGAUGUCAUCGUGUCACGAAUGACUGGGCCACGCUGGGUCUUCCUGCUGUAGCCAGCACACUUCCUGUCUGCAGAUUCCAAGUAGGACUUUACCAGGUCCAGGCCUGAGGGAUGCACAAAGAAAAGGUCAACUGGUCUGCACCAACAGCGGACGAGGGAACGUCUUGAAACUCAUUUUGUUGUGCUUUAUGUUUAUUCAUGAAUAGUAAGUUGUAAAAAUGACAUAUGGUCAAAGCACAAAGAGAAAUAUGUCACAGUGCUCGUUCACAUCUGGAGUAACGUGAAUAUAAGGUUCAGUCAUUGCUCUGUGAAGGAGCUGCAUAAGGCUCAGUGUAAGAACAGCAGCGUGCGUCAUGAGGAUA